rnacentral:lncRNA from 1 species
CAAGAGUGGAUUCACUGGGGGCUGCUGUCUGGGCAUCUGGAUGCAGAGAGGGGGACAAGAUCAAAGAAGACACUUUGGCUCAGAUCAUGUUCUGGAAGCAUGGGGUUGAAGUGACCCGGAGAGUUCAGAAGACUCCAGCUGCCUGCCAGCAUCUGAGCCGGAAAUUUCAGAACCAGACUGAGCCUGUGCCUUGUUCCUGGCUACCCCAACCAGCAGGCAGUAUAAGCCCAUCCGAAACCACUGUUUAAAAGCCAGACGUGAGCUGUGGAUAUAGCUCAUUGAUAAAGUACCUACCUAGCACGCAGGAAGCUCUGAAUUUGAUUCCUAGAAUCACAUAACACGAGGCCUGGUGACACACAACUAACCCUAGCACUAAGGAGGUGGAAGCUGGAGAUCAGAAGUUCAAGGUCAUCCUCAGUCCAUCAGAGGCCAAACUGGGCUACACGAGACCCCGUCUCAAUAAAACAGCAAGACCUCACAAACUAGAUAUGAGAUCAUUCACCCCUGAGGUGACCCAGAAAGUGCUCUAUAUGGGGUGGCAAUUCACUGAGCUAGUUGUUGUCUCUGCUCGGGGACAGACAGAAGGGAACAGACAGGGAGGGCAGAGGAACAGCAGCUUCGGAGAGAUGGAGGAAUGGAGUUUGGUGUUUCACUGUGAAUCUUAACCCAAGUACGGAAGGAACUUUUCAGGCAUCUUUCUUUCCCUCACUAUGUGUAAGUCUGUAAGAAACACUCUGGAACACUGCAGAAAUGGUCAUGGUUAGUACAUUCCAGGAGCCACCCUGAAUUCUGAGUCACGGGGAUAAGAUGGGGAGAAGGUGGAGGCCAGCGAUUCACACUGAGCCCAGUUCUUCUCUGUCUGGUGGAGACCCAGUUCAACCAAGGGGAGGCAUUGCUUUUCUUAGGCCCUAAGGUUGGAACUCCACCAGUAGACAGCAAGUUCUAAGAGGGAGCCUGAUAGCUUCACUGUAAAAGUCAGGUCUCCACGGACAGUGUAUGAGCCCCAAAUUACCUAAAGGUUGGCAAAGAAGACUCCUGCAUCCAAACUAAGUGUACAUGGCAGUUUCCCAUGAGGCUGGA